rnacentral:rRNA from 1 species
UACGGGGGGGGCAAGCGUUGUUCGGAAUUACUGGGCGUAAAGGGCUCGUAGGCGGCCAACUAAGUCAUACGUGAAAUCCCUCGGCUUAACCGGGGAACUGCGUCUGAUACUGGAUGGCUUGAGUUCGGGAGAGGGAUGCGGAAUUCCAGGUGUAGCGGUGAAAUUCGUAGAUAUCAAGCGGAACACCGGUGGCGAAGGCGGCCUUCUGGACGAUGACUGACGCUGAGACGCGAAAGCGUGGGGAGCAAACAGG